CAAGAAAUAAAUUGUAAUACACUUUUAAGACAAGACUGAAUCUAUGUUUUAAUAUCAAUAUAACUUUGAAAUUAAUUAUUUUCAAGUUUUAUGCAGAGCAAGAAAGCUUUUUUAAAUGGAGGGCUCUAAAUUUUCUUUCAUAUGGGAUAUUUACGUAGAGAUGAAUUAUGCUUAAGAAAAGCAUCGUGGCUAAGUGGGAAUCUAUUUAGAUCCUUAAUAUUGUAACAUAGAGUGCCAAUAAUAGCUAUUAACAUAUUACAUUUCCUUUCACAAAUCCCAGAAAUUAGCUAAGACAACAUUUUCUCAAAAGAGAAUAGUGUAUCUUGCAUACAUACAUAAAUAUAAAAAUCUGAAUGCCCAGGACCAGUUACUACCAGUUGAAAGCAAAAAUUUCAUUAGAAAAAAGUGAGUUAAGAUCAUCCAAAAUAAAAUUUCAAGGAACUUUUAACUAAUUCACAUCAAAUAAUUAAAGAACCUUUCAUGCUUCUACAUUUGAAACCUUUGUUUGGUGACGUAUCACAACAGACUACUUUCAGGAGUUAAUGAGCAAAUGUUCGGACCCUAGUUACUGUUCAGUGAUAUUAGAUACACAUUGAAGUUAAGUCACUGAACAUAAUAAUAAAGCAGCAUUAACUACAAUUUUAGGGACCUUCUCAGAGAAUAAAAAGGCAAGAGAGAUGAAAGCGUAAGUGCAGUCAAAUCUUAGCCACAAUAUCUUCUUUUCCUGUCUAAUCUCUGAUUUUCCCCAUUAUCAAGAUUUUUUUUUGGAGAACACACACUGACCAAUUUUUAUCUAUAUUUAAACAAAUAAAUCUAUUACUACUCAGAUCAAAAUACUAUUAUACCAUGAACAAAAUGCUUUAUAAGAGUUUUGAAUGUAAUAAAUCUUGAAAUAUUUAAAAAUAAGCUUAAAAUUAUCAUAAAGGCAUUGACAACAUGAAUAAGUCAAAAAAGAACAUAAUGUUUGAAAUAAUGUGGAGUUUUCAAUGAAUGUUGCAAAAAAAAAAAAUAAGUGACUGUAGGUGUAAAGUAGUACAGAAGAGGGAAAUAAAGAUAACUUCUGUCCACUUUAGCUUUUAACAUGCAAUGCUUUCCCUUCAACUCCUGAAACUAUCACACUGUCAGGGAAGAGGCACCAAAUUGUACAGAAUGACAACACUUGUAUAAGGGUAAUGGAAACUAACCAAGCCACUUGACAAUGCUCUACCCAUGUGUUCCAAAAGUCACCAAAAUAGAAGUGCUUUCUAAAAUUCAGCACUAAUGUUAAGAUAAUACACACCAAACAUUACUAGAUAAAAAAUUUCUUCCACAUUGCUAGCACGUAAGUCACAUAAACAUUAAGUUAUUAAGCCUGAAUGUUAGGGAUGACACUUGAUAUUCAGAGAAUAUGGUUUAUGGCUAAGUUUCACGAACAUCUUUGCUCAUGAAAAAAUCUGAAAUUAACAUAUGAAGGUAUUACCCCAAAAAAAGGAAGGAAAAAGCUAGAGCUUCUCAGGUUAUUAACACUUACUAGCAUUUCUUCUUACAUAAAUUUAUGAAUACGUGGGUAGAAAAAGCAUUUCUACCCCGAAUCUAGUUUUAUUACCCAAAACAUCAACACAGCUUUACAAACCCCUUAAAACCAACUACUCCUCAACUCUCCUUGCUCCACUACUUUGUAAUAAUCAGCACUUCUCUCCCAUUCAGGUACUUGCAAGUCAGAUUCUUAAAUGACAUAAAACAUAUUCUAAAACUUAUGCCCCGCCCCCCCAUUGCCCUAUUUAUGACUGUUAAAAUGUAGCAAACAUGUUUUGUUUAAAGUUCAAAGUUUGACUCUUCUAUAUUAUCUUGUUUUCUUACAUUGUUAUAAUUAUUAAUGACCACUGACAGUGGCCAGUGACAGGAACUGUUCUUGCAGGGUCUGCAGAUCCCUACUCUAUGGCUGCGCAGACUCAUGUUCUAACAGCAGCUGAUGAAGAGACUUCUGUUGCUCUUGAUUUAAGAUGAGCCCAAUACUUCUUUAAGACAUUUUUCAGACUAAUGAAAACUAGGCAAUUAUGACUAUUUCCAUUAGGCAAGACAAUGUUUGCACAUAAAUCAUUCCACACAUUCAGGAACUUACAACUACCCUACAAAAUACCUUCUUCCUUUUACAUCCAUAUUUUUAUACCAAUGUUUAAGAAAAACGAACUGAAGGUACAUAGGAAACUAAAAUCAAGGUUUCCUGACAGCUAUAUUAGUGUCCUAUCCCAGAAGUUACUACAAAGCUAUAAACUAUUUACUCAAUCUUUUUCAUGACUAUUUUAUACAACAUCUUUGUCUUUUUGAUUAAUGUAUAUAAAGACAAAAAAAUUACAGCCAGAAUUAAUAAGCUAUCAGUAACAGCAAAAGGGGAAAGAAUGUUUCCCCAAAUGUCAUUUUGUUUUCCAGCAAAAUGUUUGAUGCUUCUAAUCCUUAACUAAAAUAAAUUCAGAGCAGAGUGGUUAAUAAAAUUUUGAGCUUAAAUAAGCUUAAAUUUAUAGUAAAGGCAUUAAUAAUAUGAAUAAGUAUGCAGCAUUCUUUUUCUAGCUAUCAGUUUCUUCCAGAUUGUAAAUAAAAUUUCUAUAACCUGGACUUUACAUGACUUUUCAAGAAUUUAGCAUAAUCUACAGAAUGAAAAGGUUGGACUAGAUAAUCUCUAAAUCCCUUUCCACUCUAUGACUUUAUAAUUCCAGCUUUUAUUGUGGUUUCUUCCUAUUCUUUAACCUAAAAAAUAAGAAUACAAAGGACAAAAUAAAUACCAAAUUAACUUGGUAACUUUAGUCCCAAAUCUUUGAAUUUCUUCAAAAAUGUUCAAAAUAAAACCACUGUUUCUUUAGUGAUUCAUGGGUAUAGUGCCAUAUAUCACUUCUUCCACAUUUCUUGAGCAGUACUAUUCCAAAAAGAAUCAAGUUUUCUUCUAUAUAGACCCCCGAGAGCAAAAUCAUUAUGACAAAUACAGUACUAGAAAUAAAGUUACUGUAAAAAUUACAAAUAGAUUUAUAGAAGAAAAUCUGAUUUUCAUCAUGUAUAUAAUUGUUCCAGCCAAAGAAAGCAAUAUAUGCAAAAUUAUGUUGAAUAAAAAUGACAUAUGCCUAAGGAAGGGGGAGUUUUUAGAUGUGUAAGUAAUGAAGACAGUAGUUAAUGCACAAAACAUAAGAAUCCUUGAGGGAUGUCUUGCAAAUACCCAUACUAACAGCACCAAAUCUACUCCUUAGGAAUUGCAAAGUAACAGAUUUGUAACAAAAACUACAAAAACAAUUUUGCAAGGAUGUAUUAAAAAUCCUUAUUGAGCCUAUAAAGCAGGAACUAUAAAGACAGUUCUUUUUAUUUUACCACCAUUCUUACACUAUCCUUUCUUUUUCAGAUUCCAGAACUGCCACUCAAAGUGCCCUAUGAGGAGCUGUGGUAACAAGGAAAUGUUCUCAUGACUCAAAAAUCAGUGGAAAAAGGUACAGGAUGAGAAGCCUUGUUUCCCAACCCUAUCAACAGAGCCGCACGCACCCACCCCAUGUCAAAAGUAACACAGUAUCGACACAAAAAGAGCCUGGAUCCCUCACAUGGACAGCCCUGAUCUGCUGAUUCUGAGUGCUGUGUGACAGAAAAGCAAAACUUUUAUAUUGUUGUAAGUACUGUUAUUUAACCUUUAUGUUAGAACCAAUCUUAUCAUUUAGCCUAACUAAUACAAGGUAUCUUCAUAUGAGGGUAAACUACAGUCACCAAAAGUGAUUACGUAUCAGAAGGCUGAGGUGGGAGGAUCAUUUGAGACCAGGAAUUUGAGGCUACACCACACUAUGAUCAUGCCUGUGAAUAGCCACAGUACUCCAGCAUGAGCAACGCAGUGAUACUCUGUCUCUAAAAAAAAAGCCAAAC
rnacentral:lncRNA from 10 species